CCAGUAGGUGGAAGCCCAAGGAGGAGGAAACCUGUUCACCUCCUGGCAGACAGGAAGUGAAGAGAGCAGGAGAGGAAGCUGGGCUCCGGUAUCCCUUUAAGGACACGCCCCCAGUGCCCUGACUUCCUCCAAGGAGGCCCCACCUCUUAAAGGUUCCACCACCUCCCUGCAGCACGGCAGGCUGGCCAUGAGGCUCUUAAUCUUGUGCCUUUAAGGUCCAUUCCAGAUCUGAACCCUGAGGUCGUCAUCAUCGUUUAGUGAGCUUUUCCUCCACUGGGAUCAAAAAGCAUGACAAGAACAACACAGAGAAAGAAAAGUUUAUUGGGGGUCACGGUUUCAGAGGUUCAGAGCAUGGUCAGCUGACUGCAGUGCCCUGGGCUGGAGAUGGAGCAGAACCCAGCCAGACUGCAAGGGAGCCCCAACUGUCUCGUCGCUUAAAGCGUGUUCUCUGGGACACUGGAGCUGGGGGGCCCCCAGGAGAUGUUGGGCUCAGGCUCCCGCUGCCCCUCAGCCGUCUGCAUCAGCUCAGCUGCCCAGCUGCCUGCCUUUGGACCCAGCAUCUUGUCUUGGCCGCGGACACUGGAGCGGAUCCAUGUCUAAGUGGGCAUUUUAUCUAGGCAGCCUCUCCCCUGUCCACUGCACGAGGCGUUCCCCUUUGAGACUGAGAAUAGAGGGCCCCAGCAAAGCAGCCUUUAUGUGAUCUAUGGCAAAAAGUCUCUCUCGUGAUCCUGCGCUAGAUGACCUUGAUUCUGAGCCUGGUUUGUUCUCCUGGCUUUUCAAGCUGCAUUCACAGGUUGGCCUCUUGUGUCACUCCUGGGACUUCCAGUCUCCUCCUCUGAUGGCAAAGCAUUCCGACAGAGAGCGAGGCCCUGUCCCCAGAUGAAUCGGUGGGGAACGUAAUACGGGUGAUUAAAACAUAAAUCACUUAAGCCUAA